rnacentral:rRNA from 1 species
AUGGCUCAGGAUGAACGCUGGCGGCGUGCUUAACACAUGCAAGUCGAACGGUGAAGCAGAGCUUGCUCUGUGGAUCAGUGGCGAACGGGUGAGUAACACGUGAGCAACCUGCCCCUGACUCUGGGAUAAGCGCUGGAAACGGCGUCUAAUACUGGAUAUGUGACGUGRCCGCAUGGUCUGCGUCUGGAAAGAAUUUCGGUUGGGGAUGGGCUCGCGGCCUAUCAGCUUGUUGGUGAGGUAAUGGCUCACCAAGGCGUCGACGGGUAGCCGGCCUGAGAGGGUGACCGGCCACACUGGGACUGAGACACGGCCCAGACUCCUACGGGAGGCAGCAGUGGGGAAUAUUGCACAAUGGGCGAAAGCCUGAUGCAGCAACGCCGCGUGAGGGAUGACGGCCUUCGGGUUGUAAACCUCUUUUAGCAGGGAAGAAGCGAAAGGAC